rnacentral:rRNA from 1 species
GACGAACGCUGGCGGCGUGCUUAACACAUGCAAGUCGAACGGUGAAGGGAUCAGCUUGCUGGUUCUGGAUGAGUGGCGAACGGGUGAGUAACACGUGAGUAACCUGCCCCCUUCUUCUGGAUAACCGCAUGAAAGUGUGGCUAAUACGGGAUAUUCUGGGUCUGUCGCAUGAUGGGUCUGGGAAAGAUAUUGUUUCGGUGGGGGAUGGGCUCGCGGCCUAUCAGCUUGUUGGUGGGGUGAUGGCCUACCAAGGCGGUGACGGGUAGCCGGCCUGAGAGGGUGGACGGUCACACUGGGACUGAGACACGGCCCAGACUCCUACGGGAGGCAGCAGUGGGGAAGAGUGCACAAUGGGCGCAAGCCUGAUGCAGCGACGCCGCGUGAGGGAGGGAGGCCUUCGGGUUGUAAACCUCUUUCGCCAGUGAAGCAGGCCUGCUCCGUGUGGGUGGGUUGACGGUAGCUGGAUAAGAAGCGCCGGCUAACUACGUG